CAACCUUUCAUUUCUCCGCAACUUCCUAUGAAUGCCAAAACCCUAUCCAUCUUAAGAUUUUACACAGAUUUGCUCCAAAUGUGGAAGUUAUUUUUGUAAAGUUUCGGCAGCCAAAGGGUGCAGGAGUAGUUUUUAGUUAUUUUUGUAAAUUUGAUGGGGCUUAUUUUAUGUGAUGCUUGUUUUUUUUAUAUUACUCACCAAAAUUAAUUAAUACAUUUAAAUUAGAAAAAUAUAAAGAUUAAAAAUAAUUUAAUUAGAAAUAUUGAUUAAAUUUAUAACUUUAUGUAUAUUAAAUGUAGAAUUUAGAUAAUUAGAUUUUACUAGGACCUUUUAGAUGUAGAUUAAAAUUUUAAAAAUUAAAAAAAUAAAUAUAUUAAAAUGAAAUAAUUCAAAAAAUAUAUGAAUUAAAUUUAGUUAAAUUAAAAUACAAAAAUUAAAUUACUUUCAAUUCUCAAUCGGAAAUAAUUUAUUGGUUUAAUACUUAUUAAAUGUAAAUAUUUAAUAUUGAUUUUUUAAAUAUGUUUAGCUGUUGAAUUAGCUUUUGACUGAUUUAAUGUUUAUUUGACUUAUUAUACCCAUCCAACAUGGAUUCACCACUGAUUUAGGAUCCAAUCUGAUUUUUAUCCUUAGCUUUAAUAAAUGAUUGCUCCACUUUCACUUUCUCUCUUCACUAAUUACAUCCACCUGCACGAAUGCGGUACCAAAGUGAAACAGAAUAUGGACAAGACAAUCCCAACAUCUGCACCACUUUGAUCCAUUGCCAAUCUAACAACUUUCCAUGUACCUUAUGAAUCUAAUAUCUUAAAAGCACUUGCAUGACGUGAUGGAGUCAGGUACAAAAUCCCAGCUGCGAUGGCAGUGGCAACACUUGCAUAUUCAACAUGACCUACGGGGGUUCAGCCAUUGCAGCAAACCUCUCACAGGACACAUUCACCUUAGCCAACGACUCUGUCUCGAGCUACACUUUCGGUUGCCUGCAAAAGACAACCGGCAACUCGGUGCCACCACAAGGUCUAUUGGGGCUCGGCCGAGGUCCAUUAUCCCUUCUAUCUCAGACCCAAGACCUGUACCAAUCCACAUUUUCAUACUGUUUGCCUAAUUUUAGGUCCGCCAACUUUUCUGGGUCAUUGAGACUUGGGCCAGUUGGGCAGCCAGUGAGGAUCAAAUACACCCCAUUACUGAAGAACCCCAGGAGACCAUCGCUUUACUUUGUGAAUUUGAUUGGAAUUAGAGUUGGAAACAAAGUUGUUGAUAUCCCACCAUCUGCCAUUGCUUUCAAUCCUACCACCGGUGGUGGCACCAUUAUUGAUUCUGGUAAUUUUUGCCUUUUAUUCUAUCAAAAUAUUUGCUUUUUAAAAAAAAUUAUUUAAUUUUUAUGUGAUGCAAAAUUAUAAAAAUAAUAUAAUAUAUUAUAUAAUUAAAAUAUAUGUUUAUUAAAUUAAAUUCAAACUUUAAAUGUUGAAUUUUUUAAAGCUAUUUUUUGUGUUAGGCAUAAUUCCAAUCUUAUCAGUUGUCUUUAAAGUUGAGAACAUAAUAAUGACAACAUGUUGCAUUAUUGUAUUCCAAUUGCAACUGUUGAAUAUAGUGUACUUACUUUUGAUUUUUUUUUAAAUAUUUUCAUUAAAUGCUUCAUGAAAUUUAAUUAAAAAAAAAGCGUAAUUUAAAAUAUCACAAUAAUUUUGGCAUCUAAAAUUUCAGGUACUGUUUUCACCCGGCUAGUUGAACCAGCCUAUGUAGCCGUCAGAGACGAGUUUCGAAGACGAGUUAAGGUGGCCAACGUAACAUCUCUUGGCGGUUUCGACACAUGUUACACAGUCCCGAUUGUGGCUCCGACGAUAACGUUCAUGUUCACCAACAUGAACGUGACAUUGCCACAAGACAAUCUGUUAAUCCACAGCACUGCAGGCAGCAUCACAUGUUUGGCGAUGGCAUCGGCACCGGAUAAUGUGAAUUCUGUGCUGAAUGUGAUAGCCAAUAUGCAGCAACAGAACCAUAGGAUCAUUUUCGAUGUGCCAAAUUCUAGGUUGGGUGUUGCCCGUGAGCUCUGCACCUAAAUUGUAGCUUUGUUCCCUAAUUUAUUUAUCCCUGUGUUCGUGUAUUUUAUUGUGUGACCAUCAUAUUUAAAGUAUUUUAUAUUUAUGUAAACUUAAAUGUUUUUAAUAAUUUGCAACACUAAAAUUUGAUAUUUGGUAUAGUUGUGUUGAAUUUUUGUACAACAUAUAUAUUACCAAAAUCUAAGUCUAUUUUAUCAACAAAUGGUUGGAAGAAGUGAGGGUGAACUUCUUUUUGAGAUAUUUAAAUCAAGUUUUAAUCUUGGAAUCAACAUUAUAAGGAGGGUUUUACCAAAAUACCACUCCCAGUCUGAACAAUAUUAAACUCAAACAAUAAAACAGAUGAUGACACUUGUACAUAUAAAAAAAAUGUAAAUCAAGAUUUUGCUUUUAAAAAGAAAAUUUCAAAACCAUCUGCUAUGGCAUAUUUAUCCAAGAACUAAUUACGCAGUUCAAGUUUAUUCAGCUCAACCUGUAGAGGUGAAUUUAAGGGGUUGGCAUUUCUCUGAAUUUCUAAAAAUAAUUAUUAAGUCCUCAAGUUUUAAAAUUUUUAUUUUGAUAUUAUAAUUAGUAUUUUUUUUAAAAAAGAUAAAUUUGUGUUUGAUCCCCCAUAUUUUUUUAAAAAAUUUGAUUCCUUUAAUAGAAUUUAUAAUUUUUAUUUUAAUUUAAAAAAUGAAUACAAAUUAGUAUCUAAAUAUUAAUCUGAUAAAAAUAAAGUUUAAUAAUUGCAAUAUCUAAAUAUAAAUGUAUUUAAAUAUUAUUAAGUAAAAAAGCUUAAAUAAUAUAAAUUGAGCAUUUAAUUUUUUUUUCUAAAUUUUGAUAAUAAAGAUUAUCUUGAAUUUAAAAAUAUAUUGUUAAAAAUAGGCUCGACUUGUACUUUAAACAUGUAUAUUUUAUAAAAAUACCCCGACCCCUCUUAUUAACAAUUCUAACUUCACUCCGACCAACUUUGAAUUAAAUUUUUAAUAUUAAAAUUAAUAAUAUUAUUUGAAUUUGAUUGUAUAAAUAUAUAAAUAUGCUCUCAAUAUUUUAUUAAGUAGCGAAAUGGACAUUUUAAGAUUCAAGCCUGGUUGGAAUAGAUUUAGGUAAAAUUUUCAGAAAAUUGAGCUAUGGGCUGGCUCGAUUGAAAAUGUCCAUAGGUUAGAUCAAACUCAUGUAUAAUAUCAAUGUUGUACAUAGUUGUUUAAAUAUAAUUUAAUUCUAUUUAAAAUAUAAGUUUUAAAAUUUUUUAAAUUCAGCUAUAUUUAUAAAUAAUUAAUUCAAGCUCGAUUAAAUAAGUUGAUAUUAUUUUUUAUAAUUUUUUUAAAUAUAACUUAUUAAUUUAAUAUAUUUUUAAUAUUUAUAUUAAAGUAUUUUAUAUUGUUAGAUUUUUUUUAUUUUAACUGAAAUUAAAUACAAAUAAAUAAAAAGAUUUAAACAUAAAUGUAUGGGACAUAAAAUAAUGUAGAGGAAAAGAAAAAUUGGGAUAUCAGGGGUGUCACUGCUGCUGACACUGUUUAGAAUUGUUGCUGCUGCUGAAGGGUAUUAUAUAGGAUCAUACAUUUCCCAAAUCCCAAACUGCAUCCAAAAGAGGAAGUGAAAAUAAAUAAUUUUUUUUCAGAUAUUAGUUACACUAAUCUAUGAAACUCCGAUGAAUAUCAUAUAUGAAUAUAUACAAGGUUAAAAUUUAUUUAAAAAUUCAUAUUUCGUAACUGUAUUUCGAAUGUGUUGAAGAAUUUAUGAAAAAUGAAGAAUUGGAGUAAUAUUAAUAUACCUUGGACUUGUAUCACUUUUACUCCUCUGAAUCACUUUCUUCUUCUUCCUCUGAAUCAUAGAUGAUUCUAUUAUCAAUCUGAACAAAAGGGAUGCGAGCAAUGUUAUAAUUCCAACAAAGACAUAAGCAUGUCUCUUCUGGGCAAACAUUUCAGCUUUGGAAGUUUAACAAUGGACAAACAUUCAAGGAAGGGAAGGUUUUGAAAGCCCUUGGAAGACAGGGUUUCGACAUUUGGGAAAUCGCUGAUGGCGAGUUUGCGUACAGAACAAGGCAACAUCAUGCCGUUCCCUUCAUGUGGAAACAUUACCCCAUCUGAAUAUCCUCCAUAGAUUGCAAGUCUUUUAAGAGAAGUGAGCUUAUGGAAUCCCCAAUGGAUCAGUCCUUCAAGAAUUUCAGGUUUUGAGAUUGUAAGCGAAGUCAAGUUUGUAGGGAAACCUUCUUCAGGAAAGGUUAAUAAACAUGGACAGUUUGAUAUCUCCAGUUCCUGAAGAUAUGUAAGGCAAUGCAGGCCAUUUGGUAGAGCUUGGAGUUUACGGCACCAGCUUAGAUGCAGCACACGUAGGCCGGUUGAGGGCAACCUGGAAACCGAAACCAGAUUCCGAAAGCAUUCGAUAUGCAGUUGCUGCAGAUGGCUGAGCUUGUCCAAUCCAUCUGGCAGAUACUGAAUUUUUUCACACCUGGCAAUAAAAAUGGACUCAAGGCAAGUUUUGUUGUGAACUGAAUCUGCAAUGGAUUCCAGCAUUUGGCAAGUGUCUGUCCACAGGUGUUUAAGCCCCACAGGUAAGUAGCCACUUGAUGAUAAAUAGGCCAAUUUUGGACAACUCCAUAUCUUCAGAUGUUGAAGCUUAACAGGUAAAUCACCUGCUGAUGAUAAAGAUGCUAGAGAGUGGCAUCGUUCAAUUAUCAGAUGGCUAAGUAAAGAUCUUCUGCUGAUGUUCAUUCCAUCUUCAUCUAAUAAACACUUCAAAUUAUCACAAUUUUUUACCACCAACCCUUUUAGCGUAAGAGGCAAGUUAUCGUGUGAAAAUGACAACAGUUUCGGGCAUUUUACAAUCUCUAGCUCCCUAAGGGAUGUAAGAUUGUACAUGGUUGCAGAUAACUUCUCUAAUUUUUCACAAUGCUUGAUUCUUAGAUGUUCAAGACUGCAAAGUGUUUACAUUUGUUGCACCUCUUCUUUUUGCUCUCCUAUGGAUAUCCCCAUUGAAACAAGUUGAGAACAGUUCAAGAUUUCCAAAUUCCGGAGGAAACUUGAUCGUGCUAACCAUCCUGCUCCAUUGUGGCACAAGGAAGGAAGCUCUCUACAACCACCGACCCGAAUAAACUCUGUUUGUGAUAAGCCUAACAUCAACCCUUUUAAACAAGAAAACCAUGUGAUAUUUGAGAGAGUGGCCUUCUUGAUUGAGCAAAGGUCAAAAGAGCCAUCAUGUCUCACUCUUUUGCAGCCAACAAUUUCUAUUUCAUACAGCCUGGAAUGCUUUGGAACUGAAACUUCCAAUAGUUGACAGUCAUGGAUUACAAGCUUUUCCAAGCAAGGAAGAUAGCUUGGUAAGCUUCCCAACAGUUUGGGGCAUUUCUUGACAGAGAGAUCACGGAGGCAAUUGAAGUUUCCGGUUUUCUCAUCGGCUUGGUAUGUAUUCCACUCCUUCAACUGUGGCAUUUCUUCAAAACGAAGAAUCUCUAAUGCUGGAAAUGCAUUUGAGCAAUUUUCUCCAUAGAACUCAACACCUAUCUUAUUGACAUAAUCCAUUCCUUUGACAUAAAGGGCCUUCAAAAACGGCAGUUGUCCAAGUGCAGGUAAUGAAAUACACUUGUGGCAAUGUUCAAACUCUAAGAACAUUAAAUUUUUUAAUGAACAAUCUCCGAUCCAAUUCGGGAAUGUCUGACCACCAUAACACUUGAUGGAGAGUUUCUUAAGUUUCUUAUGCGAUUGAAGUAAGCUCAACACUUCUUUUUCGACUCCUGCGUUUUGUAAAUCACCUUUCACGUCCGCAGUCCAUUUCAAUUCUAGAUCAUCAAGGCUGAACUUACUGAACAACAUAGCCUCCGUUGCAUCUUGAGCAUUGACAAGAUGUUCCAAUCCUGAGAUAGAAAGUUGACCUUUGAGAUCAGAUAAAUUCUUCAGCUCCCUUAUCUGAUAUCCAACACCUUGGCCUAUAACAAAGUUGGACACUGACUGGAUAUCAAUCAAUUCACCGAUUCCAAACGGCAUCCCUUCAAUUGAAUUAGCAUCAGUAAUAUCAAGACGCUGUAGAUUGGCUAAAAGUCUCAAAUCAGACCCUAAGUGUUUAAGGCGAUCGCAGCCUCUCAACAACAAUGUUUGUAAGUUGAAGAGUGUACAUAUAGAUUCGGGAAGGCUUUUGAUUUUAGUGUAAGAGAAGUUAAGGUAGCGGAUAUGUGUCAGAUCACCAAUUGAAUCUGGUAGCUUGGUGAUGUAGUACCCUUCGAGAGAGAGCACUCUUAAGCAUCUCAAUCUCGGCAACAAAUCGAUAAGAACACUGUUAGAUAGGUAGCAGUCUCCAUCAUUUGGCAACAUAAAUGACAUAAAUGUUCGUAAAUGCUCUGCAUCACCGAAUGUAUGGAACCUUUUGAAUCCAUUAUACCUACUUCCGAUGAAGGAUGAGUAUCGAGCACAGCUCGAAAUUUUCUCAUCACCCUCUAGUCUAAAGCAUAUGUCUCCUGCAACAGAUCGAGCUAGAUCAUUGAUGAGGUCAUGCAUCAUAAACUGAGAUUUAUUCCUGCUAGAUCUUUGAAAGAAAGACCUUGACACAAGAUCUUGAAAGUACAUGCUACCUAGUUUUUCGAUUUGCAGCCUUUUAGUGUUUACUUGUUGCAACAUUCCUUCUGCCAUCCAUAACAGCACUACUUCCUCCUCUCCGAACUCAUAGUCUUUACGGAUAAUUGAGCAAUACGAAAAACAUUGUUUUAGAUGUUGUGGAAGGUGAUAGUAGCUCAGCCUUAGAGCUGGAAUUAUACCACUUUGCUCUUCUGAUGAAUUCCAUAUCUCAUUCUCCAAUACAACUUUCCAUGCAUCUGGAUCAACACUAGUUCGAAGCAGGCCUCCGAUUGUUUUAGCUGCUAAGGGCAAGCCUUUACACUUCUUCACAAUCUGUUCUCCAAGUUCUUUCAAGUCCAAAUGACCACUAAAAUCUUUGGCUCCUAUGGAAUGUUGAGCUAAAAUGAACAAACAAUCAUCAUUUGACAGUUCUUUCAAUGAGUAAUCCGGAACCGUUUUCAUAACUGAUGAGACGUUCUGGUUUCGCGUUGUCACAAGAAUCUUGCUUCUCGAAUCCCCUACUUCGAAAGGAGAUCGAAGGAUGGUCCAAUCAUUGUAACUCAUAUUCCAAAUAUCAUCCAAAACAAGCAGAAAUUUCUUUUUGGACAGCUUCUCCUUCAAUUUGACUUGAAGCAAAUUCAGAUCAUUUACAUCAUUGCAUGAUGCAUCACAAGUGACCGACUGCAAAAUCGAUUUUGUUAUCCUAACGAUAUUGAAAUCUUCAGAAACACACACCCAUGCUUUGACGUCGAAAAGAUCUUGGACCUUAUUAUCAUUGUAAACUAGUUGAGCAAGAGUUGUCUUACCAAUUCCUCCAAUGCCAACAAUGGGGACGACAGAAACUUGAACGUCGGUAUCACCAUCCAUUAAAAGCAAAUCAAUCACUACAUUUUUAUCAUAUUCUCUACCAUAAACAAGAGCUUCAUUCACCAAAGAACUAGUUGGUGGUCUUUCAAUGACUCUCUUAGGCCUACCAACAUCAAGCUCUCUUAAUUGCAACUCAUUUUUCCGAGUGAUCAAAUCAUCCAAUCUAGAACUAAUGGCUUUAAUCUUGUUCAUCAUCUUAUAUCUAAACAAGAAAGCAUUCGGACCAAAACUUGCAGUGAAGCUAUGAAUGAUCUUCCUUACCUUACUUCGGUGCGCUUGUUUAUCUUUCUUUAACUUGUUACGAAGAGCUUCUGUAGCAAACUCGUCCAAGAUGUCGUCGACGUCGAAAGCCAAGUCUCGGAGCUUGGACAACCACAUCUUCACAUGCUGGUCCUUCAAUUGCUUCUCCUCUGCAUCAGCAAGCACUGCAUGGACAGUCCUCAGUACUGUCUCCAGCUUGUUAAGUUCCUUUUGAACCUGUUUUUCAGUGGCGAAGUGGAGGGUAUCAGGAGAGACUAAGUUGGCAAACAAGGCCUCAAAGAAAGAGGAAAUGACAAUUUCUCCAGAGAAGUACAUGGCUCAACCUUGAGCAGCACUGAGAUGGGAAUUGAUUGAUAAUUCAACAAUAAGGGGUUGGAUUAAAAGUGUGAAGGGACUAGUUGGUGGUCUUUUGAGUUUUCUAUAUAUUCAAAUAUGGCUGGAUGGACCCCCACUGAUUGAAAACAAGGCUAAAAAUUGUCAAAGAAUCAAAACUUUGUGUUGACUUUAGGGAUGAGGAUGGUUCAAUAUCGUUUCGUGUAGUAAUGAAUGACCAAAUAAUUUCAAACCAAUUCUGUUACUUUUAAGCAAUUUUUCUCUGGUGACACCAAUGUCCUAUCCAACGCCCAAUACGCAAGUCAACUUGAUGGGGUCUAGGCUUAAACAUUGUAUUAUCCAUCUUUUUCUUUUUAACAAAUUUAAUUUUUUUUUUAAAUUUUAAAAUAAAAAAAAUUUUACUCACUUGAUAAUAAUGUAAUUAAAAAGGGCAUGGUAAUGUCAACAACCUUUUAGUCUAAUAAUAAUAGCAUCAUAUUGUAGGCAUAAAAUAAGAGGCUGUGCUAUGGUGUUGCCCCUUUCCAGCUGCUGUUGUAUCUGCUGCCUUGAAGCUCGGAAGUCGCCACCGUCGUCUCUAACUGCUGCUGGCCGCGUCGAGUUCAGGUGAGGCCAGCCGUUUUUUUUUAGCAAACUUUUUGUUUGUUUGUUUGCGUUGUAAAAUAUUAACAAAGUUAAGCUGUUUGUUAAUGUAUUUUGACUUCUCCUUUAUGGCUUUAUGUGCUCUUUUUUUUUUAUGGGAGAGAUAGGGCUAUUUAUUAUAUCCAUUUCCAAUUGGUUUUUCCUAUUUCUAUUAUUUUAUUUUUAUUUUUAAAAUUUUUUCCUCUAUUUUAUUUAUUUUUAAAAUUUUAGAAAAAUUUUAUUUAUUUUAAUAUUUAAAUUAAUCAAAUCAGUAGUUAAAUUGACCAAAACGAUUAAACCGAAAACGUGUGAUAUGACCGAUUAUAAAUAGUACAAUCUCAUAAUUUUAUUCAAAGGUUAAGGUGGAAAUGUACAACUAACCCUAUAUUAUAACAUUUUACUAUAACAACUAAAUUUAUUGUAAAACCAAUUUUUAUGUUUUAUUGUUACCUUUUAUACCACAUUUUCAUCUAUAACAACAAUAUUCAUAAAGUACUAUAUUAAUAAUCUAUAAAAGUCUUAUGUCUCAAAUUUUAAUUAAAUUUAAUUAUAUUCUUAAGUGAAAUGAAAAUAAUGAAUUUUAGUUAAAUUAUCAUUUUGGCAAUGGUCAAUUUUGAUCAAUUUGACUCGUGUUUUUAUUUUGUAUAGCCCAUUACUUUAAUUUGAUUUUUCGUUAAAAAAAUUAAACCAACUGUUGAAACUCUUUUUGAAAUCGACUUUUUGUUUAAAAAAACGAAAAUGAGAGUCGUCACCAAUCCCUUUUUUUGUGAGGUGUGAUCUGAUUACCUCGUAAUUUGAUCUUUUUAAUAAAAGAUUCGAUUUACUAAAACAACAAUUUUUGGUCUACAAAAUUUAGAAAAUGGGUUUGGGAGUCGGUUACGCACGAGGAAGGAUUAGCACCCUCUUGAUGCCCAAAAUUGGUACCUAGUUGAUUACUUGAUGUCUUAGUGUUAAAAGUUGAAAACUCGAAAGGAAUUUAAAAUAUGAUUCCUCUUUAUUAAUGUUAUUUUUACUUAAAAAUCGCUUGAAUAAAUCGAAACGUAUGUUAAAGGUCAUCUUAUCUCGAGGUAACAAAAGAUCAUAUCCUGUAAGUUAGAAUACAACACCUUAAAAUAUCAAAAAAUAAGUUCACAUUUUUUAUUAUUUAAUUAAAUCUUGUGUAUUUUGAUUUUAAGAGGAUAUUCGGUGAUUUAGAUUCAACAAGAAAAUCGAAACCCCAUAAGUUAUGAUACGACUUCUCGAAUCUCCAAAUACAAAACAUUGCCUAUUUUUAAAUUUUCCUUUUUUGAAUAAUAACAAAUGUAAUAUUUAAAACGAUAUGUAUUUAGUUUAUUAAAGUAUGGUAUAUAUGAAAAAAUGGCUAAAACGUGAAAAGCUCAUGUUUAACGAAUGGUGAUGCGACAUAAACUAAUAAAACAUAAAAAUACGAUGAUAAUAAAAAAUCAUGACGAUAAUAUGCAUAAUAGAAUAAUAAUAAUGAAAAAUGAUAAUAGUGAUAACAAUAAUAAUAAUAAUAUCAAAAAAAUAAAGACAACAAUAAUAAUAUAAAAAAAGGCCAAAACAAAUAAAUAAAAUGCACAAUAAAUACAAGAACAGACCAAAAAAUAAAUAAUAGAAAAUAAAUAAAUAAAAUAAAAUAUGAAAAGUAAAAAAAAUAAUUCAUAAAAAUUAAUAAUUUAGAAAGAGUCCAAACUAAAUAAAUAAGGGUUAAAUCGACAUUAAAAUGAAAUAGGAGGGGUAAAUUGUGAAUAAAUAAAAGAAAAGGGAGAAUGAAGGGUCAAAAUGAAACGCGCGUGAAGGUGGGAGGACCAAUUGGGAAAUUAUUCCCUGUCCCCAAAACGGCGUCGUUUCUUUUAGGGAUUUAAAUGAAAUAAAAUACAAUUAUCAGGCAAACUUAAAAGGAAAAAAAAGACUAAAUUGCAACGGCCAUAAAAGCAGAAGGGCCUAAUGCGCAAAUAACCCAUGCGCUAAGAAAACAUGCGGAUUUUGGAAUGGAUUGAGUCGGACCAAGGGUCGGCCUAAAACGGCACCGUUUUAGGUGCUUACCCAUUAAAAUGGUCCAAGGACCAAAUUGAAGCAAAAAUAAAAGUUUGUGGUAAAAUUUUAAAAAAUAGAAAAAAAGAUAGGACUAAAUUGAAACGCGUUGUAAAAGCGGAAGGAUUGAUCGCGUAAAUUUCCCCUCCAGCAAAAACACACGGAUUCUAGGGGAUGGAUCGGGUUGGAUAUGAGUCAUGUCAAAACGACGCCGUUUUGGGCUAUUGGAAUAGCCCUUAAACGACGUCAUUUUACAAGGCUUAUAAAAGCUAAUUUUUUUAAAAAAAAACUUCAUUCUGCACCAUUUCUUAAAAAAAAAAUUGAGAGCUCUCCCUUUGCUCUCUCACCCUCCUCGAACUCCAAUUGUCGAGCCACAGUGUCAACGACAACGGUUGCCGUAUACGUUAGAUAGAGUUCACGAAAAAAAUGUCGUUUUGGCCUUUUCACUCUCUAAUCUUGAUCUGAGGGUAAAACAUCCAACAAUCCACCAAAAUUUCAAAAAAACAAAAGAAAACGAAGGGACCUUUUGGUUCCCAUUCGCCGCCGACGAGAUUUUUGGCGAGCCCACAAACUCGCCACUCUCUAAACCGGAGAACCCUCCGACUACGGCGUUAAGUGAACCGGAUUCGUUUUUUAUUAUUUACCUAUUAUUGUUUAUUUACUUUGAAAAUAAAAUAGAAAAAUCGCUACCUUUUGAAAUUAUUUGUUUUUCUUUUGAUUAUUAUUGUGUCCAAAUUACAUGGAUUGUGGUGGCUUUUAUAGCCGAAUAGUACAUUUGAUUUUAUAUUUGCUACUGUUUAUGCUUUCGUUUCUGCUACUAUUUCUCUGCUCUGUUUCUGUACUCUUUUGGUCUUAUUUUGCAGGUCCGGCUCUCGGCCAACGGAGGAGAGAAGUGAACCUUUUGCUACUUUGGUGAAACAAUAACAAAAAGGAUGUCAGGCCUUGGGACGAGCUGCACUGACGUGGCAUGAGAGCAGCGGCGCCAGAAACCCUAGGGUUUCUGGCUUUCUGAACAUUUUUAAGUGUUUUGGGCGUUGGACCUUGUAAUUUUGGGCUUGUAAAAAUUUAGAUUGUUAAUUAUUUUUAUUUUGGUUUUAUUUAUUUGGUCUUUGGCCCUAGCAAAUUUGGGCCUUUACACCAACCAUAAUGUGUCAAAAAAAUCACUUAAAAAAUAAAAAUAGAAGAUUUAAAUUAUUAAAAAUAUAAAAUAUAAAAGUCCAAAUUUUUUUUAGAAAAUUAUGAAAACUAAAAAAACUAUAAUUUAUUUUUUAAAAUUAUAAAAAUUAUAAGUAUGCAAAAAAAAAAAAGAUUUCAUAACAUUUUAAAAUUUUGUUUGUUUGGAAUUUAUUGAUUUUAGAAAAUUUUAGAAUUUUAUGAAAACAUUUAAAAAUUUUAAGAAUUUCUUUUACAUAUUUUAAAGAAAUUUCGAGUUUUUUUAGUAAAAAAAUAACAUAAAAUUCUUAAAAAGUUUCUGAAAAAAUUUAGAAUUUCAAAUAAACCAUUUGUUUAAACUUUAUGGAAAUUUUUAAUUUUUUUAAAAAGUUUUAUAUACUUGUACUUUUAAUUUUUUAGAAUUUUCAAAAAUAGAUUAUGAUUUUUUUUAUUUUUUAUAAAUUUGUUUUUGGACUUUUUUAUUUAGGUUUUUUUUUGGAUUUCUAAUGAUUUUUUUAGUUUUGUUAUAUUUUUUAAAAAUUUUCAAGUGAAAUUUUCACUUUUUCUUCUACAUGGCGGUCAAUGGUUAGUUUAAUUUUUUUAAUAAAAAUUUGGGUUGGAAUAACAUAGAUUACAAAAUUAAAGUAAAGGGCUUAAACUGGUAACAAAAAUAAAGUAUAAGAGCUAAACUAAUAAAAAAUAGUAUAAGUACUAAAGUGAUGAUUUAUCUAUAAUAAAAGGACCAAAAGAGAUAUUAAGCCAUAUUAUUUCAAGAAAACCUUAAAAUUUUAUAUAAAAAUAUAUUAAUUAUAUUUAUUAAAUAAAAACAAUAUUGAAUAAUUAGAAUUACAUUUAUAAAAAUUUAUCAAAUUUAUUAAAUAUAUUAUCCAAUUCUUAUUAAUUAAUAAUAGGGUAAACUAAACAGGUAAUCACCUAAUUUUCAUAAGUUUCAUUUUAAGAAGUAUGGUUUGUAUCUCUUUUCAUUUUGAUCAUCCUUCCCUAUAAAAGUUAAUGGAAAUCCCACAUGGAAUUCCAACUCAUUUUUCUUUCACUCGAAAAUUUUAUAACUAAUAAAUAAUUUUUAUAAUUUAUACCAAACUUAAUAAAUUUUUUUUUAUUUCACUUAUUUUCUUCAUCCUCAAGAGCUAAAAGAAAAACCAAUUCCGUAAGCAUCAAAUCUUGGUCGCCUAUUCACCGUUGCCGUCGAUCUUGAAAUACCGUCAUUAGGCCACGCUUCGAAGAUAACCCACUGUCCAAAGCUACCCAAGACAAAGUCUUUCCUUCUUUUCUUCGCUAUUUCUCUUUUUUUCUCCUUGAUUCAUCAUAGCCAUUAUUGCCUCUCUACCCAAAACUGAUACACCCAUUAAACCUCCACAAUCAAACACUGCUUUGAAGCUUUUUUAUAAAAUAAUUCUAAAAUUUUGAAUAAUUAUAAAAAUAAUCUACUUUUUUAUUAUGUACGCAAAUGACCUGAAAUAAAUAGUGAAAGUUGGUGGAACCAAAGAGAUUGACGCCACCAAUAUGCCAUGUCAACUAGUAGAUUAAAAAAAUCAAUUUUUCUAAUGGAGCCAUAUAGAAUGACGUCACUUGUAUAAAUACCAAAGAAAUAUUAGUAUUUUUCAAUAACAGAACCAUAAAGAAUGGCACUGCCACUUUAAUGUGUCAAUUUUUUUAGAAGCAUUUUUUAUUUAAAAAUGUUAGGAUCGACUUUAUUAAGCAACAAACAAGUAAAAAUAGUAGAAGAAAUUGAGAAAUUGAACACAUAUAUUUAACGUGGAAAAACUCCUCCAAAGAGGAUAAAAACCACGGGCAAAGAUAAUUUUACUAUAAUGGAAAAGGAAACGAAGAGUACAAAAGAUGGAGAUAAAAAAAAGAAACUAAACUCCGAAAACCCGAAAACAAAGAAUCCUCAAAACGUAAAUACAAAAUUCUCUAAAUGUGUUAUGAGUUCUAAUAUCUAAUGGGUGUAUUUUCUAAGAUUGUAAAAGAGCCUAUUUAUAGGCUAAAUUCAUAGGUCAAAUAAUAAUAAAAUAAUUUAAACUAAUCAGUGUUUGAUUGAAACAAAUAAAUAGAGUUUAACUAAAAAAUUAUUUCUCAAAUUUGACUAAAAAUAGGAGUCAUAUUUAACAAAUCUCCACCUUGACUCAUAUUUCCAUAACGCCAUCUUUGCCAAAGCCCACCACGAGCCUAUCUUGAACUAUGUAGGGAAUUAACUGAGUCGAAUCUGUGGUUAGAAACUGGAAGACUUCUAACCUUCGACUUGUACACUGCCAAAUCAAAACUAACCCGGGUCUGAUUUUCACAAACACAGUGCCCUAACUUUUCAAAACCUACAGCCAAAAGAGAACCUCUCUUCAACGCAAUAGUCAUACAUUUUCCCCCCCUACGACCAAGUUGGCUCCGCUCCAAACGAGUUGACUUCGACUCUGUAAUGGACGAGGGACGUCCGAUUUCACCGGUCACUAUAGAACCUUUUAGAAUAUAAAGAUUGCUGGUUUUUUUACCUUUUAACAAAACGAGAGCUCCACGAGAUACUUUAAUGCCACUCGACUUGAUGUUGAUUCUGCAUCUUUUCAAGUCUAAAAUACUCAAUGAGAUGAGAUUUUUUCGUAAAUCAGGUACAUACCUGACAUUUGAGAGCGUCAUAAUCGUCCAUCGUGUAUCCUAAUUUUAACAGUACCAAUACCAAUUACCUUACUAGAUGAAUCGUUUCCCAUACGCACAACUCCACCUUCAACUGAACUGUAUGCGGAGAACCAUUCUCUAUUGGGACACAUAUGAAAAGAACACCCGAAUCUAGGAUCCACUUGGAUGUGAGCUUGGAGUUAUCACUCGUUAACACUAACAAGAAAUCAUCACUGUUUUCGUCGACCAAAUUAACACCAGCUACAUCUUCCUCGUUACUUUCAGUAGCUCUUUUAUUUCGAAGUUUAUAACAAUUUGCUUUGACGUGACCUAACUUUUUACGAUAGUGACACCUUUUGUCUCGUUUCUUUGAUGCUAUCAAAACAGAAGCUUGCCUAUCUGCUUUUCUAUCCAAAUGAAGCUCAUUGUUGAAUUUGUCUCUACUCAACAAAUGACCCUUCACAUCUUUGAACGAAAGUUUGUAUCUAUCAUAAAUCAGGGUCUCCCUAAAAGACUUGUAUGAAGAGGGUAAAGAGCACAAUAAUAGCAUAGCUUGAUCUUCAUCAUCAAUAUGAACCUCAACGUUCUUUAAAUUAUUUAAAAGAGUAAUGAAUUGACCGAUGUGAUCUCUAAGAAGCUUACAUUCGUUCAUGCGAAACGUAAAUAGACGUUGUUUCAACACUAAACGGUUAUCUAGAGACUUAGUCACAUAAAUAGUUUCUAACCUUUUCCAGAAGGUAGAUGAGGUCUUCUCCAUCAAUACCACCUACACUACCGUAUUCGCGUGGCACAACUGGAUUGCAGAAAAAGCCUUUUCAUCAAGCUCUUCUCAUUCUGUUUUAUUUAAAUUCUCAGGCUUUUUCCUGGUAACAACUUUUUUCAAACCAGAUUGAACUAGAAUUGUCAUCAUCCGAACUUACCACAGAUUGAAAUUUGUCUCACCAUCGAACUUCUCAAUUUCAAACAUUGUUAUUGACAUCUCUGAAUGAGCUGAUCUAUGAAAAUUAAAUUAGCUCUGAUACCACUUGUUAGGGUCGACCUGAUUAAGCAAAGAACAAGUAAAAAUAGUAAAAGAAAUUGAGAAAUUGAACACACAAAUUUAACGUGGAAAAACUCCUACAAAAAUGAUAAAAAAUCAUAGGUAAAGAUAAUUUUACUAUAAUGACAAAAGAAACGAAGAGUACAAAAGAUGGAGAUAAAAAAAACUAAAUCCCGAAAACUCGAAAACAAAGAACCCUCAAAAUGUAAACACAAAAUUCUCUAAAUGUGUUAUGAGUUCAAUAUCUAAUGGGUGUCAUUUCUAAGGUUGUAAAAGAGCCUAUUUAUAGAAUUAAUUCAUAGGUCAAAUAAUAAUAAAAUAAUCUAAACUAAUCAGUAUUUAAUUGAAACAAAUAAACAGAGUUUAACUGAAAGAUUAUUUCCCAAAUUUGACUGAAAAUAGGAGUUAUAUUUAACAAAAAAUAAUAUUGAUAUUUUAUUUGGUGGAGCCAUAGAGAAUGGCGCCACCAAUAUCCUAUGUCAGUUUUUUUUAAAUGUGUUUUUUUAAUUUAAAAUAAAAAUAAAAUUUAUAUUUUAUUUGGUGGAGUCAUUCUCUUUGGCGUAAUCAAAUGGCUAAAUAUAACCCCAAUGGUAGUUCACUCUAAGUUGAAAGAGAGAUGAUGAGUUUUUUUUUAUAUUUUAUUGUUUUUGUUUAUUUAGAAAAUUUUAUAAUUUAAAGGUAUGUUUUGUUUAAUGAUAAUCUGGUGGAGAUUCGACACUGGCAACUUUAAUGAUUAUAUUCGACGACAAUUUCAAGUAAAAUUAGGGGUCUCGAUUGUCAGAUAUUUAUUUGGUAACAGGUUCAAAUUGGUUAUGUAAGUCUUUCCGUUGGCUGUGGUAGAUAACGUGUUCAAAUUGGUUAUGCAACCAACGGGUGGAUUAUUUGGGAUUCUCUAGGUCAACGGGAUGUUUGAAGGUUUUAAGGAAUCCCAAAUCGAAUCACACGAGUGAGAUCAUCAAUAUCAGCAGCAUCUAAGCUGCAAGUUAAUAGCACCGAAAAACUUGCUCAGUCGACUUGCUCGUGUUGCGGUUAAACAUUGUAUUUUUCAAUUUAUAAGACAAUGUUGUUGGUCUUGAACAAAAUCGUUUAAUUAUAUUUUAUUUGUAAGAUAAAAUUUUGUCGGUCUUGAACAAAAUCGUUUAAUUAUGUAUUAUUUGUAAGACUCAAAAUCAUUUAAAUUUUUUUUAGUAUUGAAAAAAUUGCUCAUGUUGUAAAAUUAUAUAUUGUAAAUUAAGUAAAAUUAUUUUGGAAUGUUGCAAAUGUAAAAUAAUAUUUUGUAAAAUAUAAUUUGUGAAUUAUGUAAAUUGAUAAUUAUUUAAAAUGUUGGCAAUGUAAACUAAUUUUCAUUUAAAUUAUUUUUGUAAUGUGAAUUAAUAGUUUGAUAAUUGGCAUUUUUAAAAGAAAUAUAAAAAGAGAGGACCAAAAAAUAAAGAAAGUUUGGGAAAAAAUGAGAAUGAAAAAAGAAAGAAAGUGGGAGAGGGAUUGGCUGAAAAAAAGAAUGAGAAAUGGUGAUUUUAAAAAAAAAAAUUAUAUAUAUACUAGGGCAUUUUUAAAAGAAGUUAAAAAAAGACCAAAAAAUAAAUAUGAAAAAUUUAUUGAUUGGUCAUAUCGCGUCAGCCGCGUCAACAAUGUGACUAGUCGAGAAAGAGGAUGGUUGCUUCUUUUUAACGGAAAAGAAAAAAAGAAAGAAAAACUUACUUGUUGAGGCCGGCAAUGCUGUUUUUUAUAAAAAUAACCUUAAAAUUUUGAAUAAAUGCAAACAUGACCCAUUUUUUUUAUGUACGUAAGACGACUAAUGCACUUUGUCAUCUAGAAAGUUUCCAAGUUUCGAGAAUAUAGUUUUACAUCCAUCGACUUCUCUCCCUUCAAGCGUUGUCUUCCAUGACAUUCUUGACAUCUUCGACGUGCAUGUGCCUAACAUCCAUCUGUUUUGAUUGUCUCAACCCCAUUUUUGGCAUCAAGGUUGUCAUUCUAUAAAACGUAGCUAAGAAUGCGUACGCCUUAAGAUGGAAUUAACAACCUCAACAAGGUUGUCGUCAUAUGACCAUAUCGAUACCCAUCAUCAAAAUAUUAAGCCCAUUAUUACGACUCCAUGCUACCCAAUCAUUGUUUUUGAGAAAGAUUGAACCUCGCCAUAUCAAUCUCCAACCUCGCCAGCUUAUGCCUGAAUCGAUGCGGUUCCAGUUUAUACCCUGCGUAUGUAUUUCGAUAAAACACGUUAUAUUCCUUUUAGUAAAUGGACUCAAAAUAUUUACAAAUAUAGUUUUAAUUACAAUAUUUGUACCCAUGUUCACGAUUUAUUUGCGCCAAUCCUUAUUCUUGUACCAUUGUGAAAGUUGACAGCGAUGUGGUGAAUACAGUAGAUGGACAUCUACGGAACCUCGGAUCACCGAAUUGCAGCAACAAGACCCUUGGAUCUGUCAGAGACAAUGCAAAUGUUGUCUUGCCUGACAACAUGCCUUCGCAAGUUCCUAAUGAAAAGUUCCUACAAUUCGAAGUUCUCCAACUCCACAAUGGCGAAAGUGAUCGGUAGUAUAUUUCGGUUACCGUCUUCUACAACCACAAUCAAUAAUAUCUUUGCGUAUUUUCCAUAAAGUCAUGUUCCAUCAACCUGCACAAGGGUUUGCUGUGGGAGAAGACCUUAAUAUAACAAAAGCCACUUUUUGCUGCUUGUAAAGUCGCAAUAAAAUCCCUUAAAUUUUCUAUUAAAUUGACAAGCAGAAGUUCAUGAGCGCCACACACACAAGGGAAAAAUGAAAAACCCAAAUUUUUUUCCUAUAGAUUUUCAAAUAAAGCUUGACCCUUGUGUUGAAAAUAUGAUGAAAGUGGAGAAAAUAUUACUUGUAGACCACAUAAUUUUCUGUAGCAUAAAUUAAUAAAGUAUUAAACUUUGUAUAAAUAUAUAAUACUUUAAAAAAUAUUUUAAUAUAAAUAUAAGGAUAAUAAUAUACAUAAAUGAUACAAAUAGAUAUAAUUAUUCAUAUGUCACUCCACUUCAUUUGAAAGGUUUCCCCACUUCUAUAUAAUUAUACAUAUAUACAAUGUAUAUACAUACACUCUAAUCCACUUAAAAGGCAAGCUUCCCACUUCUAUUCUUAAACAUUCCGAUAAUACUAUGAAAGCCCACACAUUUUCUCUGGUUUUCUUCUUGUUUUCAGUAGCCCAAGGAUUGAACCCCAAAUGUGAGAUCCAAGACCAAGGUUCAAACCUCCAAGUGUUCCAUAUUUACAGUCCCUGCUAACCCUUCAGGCCCUCAAAGCCACUGUCAUGGGAAGAAGAUGUGCUCCAAACACAAGCCAAGGACCAGGCCAGGCUCCAAUAUUUGUCGAGCCUGGUGGCUAAGAAACCUGUGGUGCCGAUAGCUUCUGGCAAGCAGAUUGUGCAAAGUCCCACUUAUAUCGUGAGGGCCAACAUUGGAACCCCACCUCAAACCUUGCUUAUGGCAUGGAACUAGCAAUGAUGCCGCUUGGAUACCUUGCACAGGCUGCCUUGGCUGCUCUUCUACUGUCUUUGACAAUGCUAAAUCCACCACUUUCCAGUCCCUAGGCUGCCAAGCUCCUCAAUCCAAGCAGGUAACCUCCCAGCCUUUCAUUUCUCCACAACUUCCUAUGAAUGCCAAAACCCUAUCCAUCUUAAGAUUUUACACAGAUUUGCUCCAAAUGUGGAAGUGUUUUUGUAAAGUUUGGCAGCCAAAGGGUGAGGAAGUUUGAGUAUAUGGUUUAUGGUUUAGGGUUUAUUACUUAUUAUUUUUACGUGUUACUUAUAAAAGUCAGUUAAUAUACGUUUAAUUGUUGCGGUUUGAGAUUUUAGAGUUGAAAAACAUAAAGAUUAAAAAUGAUCCAAUUAGAAAUAUUAAUUAAAUUUAUAACUUUAAGCAUAUUAAAUGUAGAAUUUAACCAAUUAAAUUUUACUAGUACCAUUUAAUUCUAGAUUAAAAUUUUAAAAUUUUAAAAAUAUAUAAAUUAUACUUAAUUAAAUUAAAAUAUAAAAAUUAAAGGGUAAAGUACAAAAAUAGUCAUUUUUGUUGGCCUUAAAUUACAUUUUAGUCACUUAUGUUUGAAAUGUUACAUUUUAGUCACUCACGUUAUCGUUUUAUUACGAAAUGGUCACUCUACCGUUAAGUUCCAUUAUCCUCCUCACAAUGGUCCUACGUGGCGGUCCAAAUGAGUUUAACAUGCCAACUUGGAUGUCCUACGUGGCAGUUCAAAUUAAAUUUAUUUAAUUAAAAACCUAUUUUUGUCCCAACAAUUGAAUAUCCAAGUUGGUAUUUAAAACCUAUUUGGACUGUUACGUAGGAAUGUUGUUAAGAUGUCCUACGUGGCAGUCCAAAUUAAAUUUAUUUAAUUAAAAACCUAUUUUCAUCUCAACAAUUAAAUAUCCAAGUUGGUAUUUAAAACCUAUUUUGGAUUGUUACGUAGGAAUGUUGUUAGGGAGGGAACAAAAUUUAACGAUAGAUCAAUAACUACUUCGUCACAAAAUAAUAACGUAAGUAACUAAAACGUAACAUUUCAAACAUAAGUGACUAAAAUGUAAUCUAAGACAAACAAAAAUAACUAUUUUUAUAGUUUACCCAAAAUUAAAUUACUUUCAAUUCUCAAUCGGAAAUAAUUUAUUGGUUUAAUACUUAUUAAAUGUAAAUAUUUAAUAUUGAUUUUUUUAAUAUGUUUUAGCUCUUGACUGAUUUAAUGUUUAUUCGACUUAUUAUACCCAUUGGACAUGAAUUCACCACUGAUUUCGGGUCCAGUCUGAUUUUUUUCAUUAGCUCCACUAAUUACAUCCACCUGCACGAAUGAAACAGAAUUUGGACAAGACAAUCCCAACAGCUGCACCACUUUGAUCCACGGCCAAUCUAACAACUUCCCAUGUACCUUAUCAAUCUAAUAUCUUAAAAGCAGUUGCAUGACGUGAUGGAUUCAGAUACAAAAUCCCAGCUGCGAUGGCAGUGACAACACUUGCAUAUUCAACAUGACCUACGGGGGUUCAACCAUUGCAGCAAACCUCUCACAGGAACAUUCACCUUAGCCAACGACUCUGUCUCGAGCUACACUUUCGGUUGCCUGCAAAAGACAACCGGCAACUCGGUGCCACCACAAGGUCUAUUGGGGCUCGGCCGAGGUCCAUUGUCCCUUCUGUCUCAGACCCAAGACCUGUACCAAUCCACAUUUUCAUACUGUUUGCCUAAUGUUAGCUCCGCCAACUUUUCCGGGUCAUUGAGACUUGGGCCAGUUGGGCAGCCAGUGAGGAUCAAAUACUCCCCAUUACUG
rnacentral:lncRNA from 1 species